GAAGGGAUUUAACCGAAGUGGGAAAAACGUGACAGUUCUACUGUCCAGGAACUAAAGUGCAGCGUGAAUGGUAAGUGCAAUUUUACAAGUUGUGACUUUUGGAGUAGGUAGGCUGGAUUUAUUUUCAUGGGAAUAUUUCUGGGGACCCUUAUAGACAUUCCUUCCAUGUUUUGGGGCUGGAAAAGGAUUUAGGAUGGUCCAUGGGUUGGUCAUUAUUGCUAAACAUCAUGGAGGUGGGUCCUUGGCUGUCUAGGCUCAUUUCUUUUAGCCUAAAAUCUGGUCUGGAGUUUUUGGGCAGAGGAAAGAGGCUCUUGGAGAGGAGAGCACGAAAAUUCUAAGUGUCCAAAGGAUGGGAGAUGACUUGGUCUAGCAAGGGGGAGAAGAGUUGCUCUCUUGGAAGAAGAAGUUGAAGUGUCCAAAAGAGAUCUUCAAGAGGUAAGGGGAGCUAACUUGUCUCUUAUUUUUUUUGUAUGUGCAGAAUUUACUUGAUGAGUAUGUUGUUUCUUAUGGGUGGAAGUUGGGUAUUAAAGAUUUGAGAAUGAGAAAUUGAGAUUUGCAUGGUAUAAUUUCAAGAAGUUGAUUUGAAUGGAUCUUUUACUACAACUUUGAUCUUUGAAUCUUGAUUAAAUUACAUGAUGAAAGUUUGGUGGGAAUUGAUGGAUCUAUGAUGAAUUGAUGGUGGAAUUUCGUUUUUGUAUGUUGAUAUGUGUGGAAGGGAAGUUUUGAAUGAAUUUGGUUAUGAAAUUGGAUUGAAAACAUGGAAGUUUAUCUCACUUUGUCAUGAAGUGCGAAAAUAGUUUGUUUUGGAUGAUUGAUGAAUUUUGGAUGGAUCAAUUGAUUUGUGGUGUGGAGAUACUUGGCAAGAUGGAAGUAUAAUGANUAAAANAGUAAGUUAAUUGAUGUUAUAAAAAUUUAUGUGUUGAAAAUUGGUAGAUUUAAAUGUAUGUUUUGUUGAGAAAAGUUGAUGAUGAGUUGUUGGAAAAAUUCACUUGAGUAUUGUGCAUUUNCAAAUUUGUUUUUGAUGAUGGGUAAAUGGAUGAUUGGUAUGAACUGUUUUGGGNUGGAUUUAGCACAUUUUAGGGGCUGUUAGAAUGAUUAACAUGUUGUUUAAAUGUGCUAGAAAAAUUAUGGAGAAAAAUAUGUUUUAUGUGUAAUGAAAAGAGUUGAUUUUGUAUGAGAUUGGAUGUAUUGAUGUUUGUGAUAUUUGUGAUUGAUUGUGGAGUGAUACUAGACUCCAAAUAUGUUUGAAAACAUGUUAGAAGUGGCAAAUCUGAGUUGAGAAAUCAAAUCUGGACAAAUCUGGGUGGAAAACCCGAAUCUGGUCGCUGUCAUGGCGCCCGAGCGCCCCUGGUCGCGCUCCAGCGCAACUGGAUGCACCAACACUUUGCUGAAUUUGUUUUUGGAGGUUUUGGGGGUUACAGAUGUCCGUUUUGGACGUUCUUUAGGUCGUUCUGGAGGUUUUUGACCCUUCCGGAACCAUUGGUGAUGGUCUCCAAGCUGUUUGAGUUACCUAAGUUUUGGUAAUCAAUGUUGCCAUGAAGACAGUUGUGAAUUUGAUUGUGAAUGAUGGAUUAAGUGAUGUGGAAAUGAGUUGUAUGUGAAUAUACUUUGUUAAGUAUGGUUGUGGAUAACUAAGUAAGUUUAAUUGAGAAUGAUGUGUUGAGAAAUACAAGGAAAGAAAUAUAUGUGAAAAUACUUUGUUAAGUAUGGUUGUGGAUAACUAAGUAAGUUUAAUUGAGAAUGAUGUGUUGAGAAAUACAAGGAAAGAAAUAUAUGUGAAAAUACUUUGUUAAGUAUGGUUGAAGAUAAUUAAACUGUAAGUUUAAUUGCGUUGAUAAGGAGAUGUAUGUGAAAUACUUUGUUAAGUAUGAUUAAGGAUUAUUAGAUUGUGAUUGUGAAUUGAGUUUGGAGAUGAGUAUUCUCUUGAGUAUCCGCUACUUUGGUAAGUAGGCAAAACGAAUUGAUGAUAUGUUGAAUUGAUAUUAUGUUGAUUAUUAAUUGGUUGUUGAGCAUGACUGGAAUGGGAUUGCUAGAUGAAAUGGAUUGUAAUUGAUUAUGUGUGAUAAGUUAUAAAAAUGUAACUUGGUUAAUCUAUGCUACUUUGGUAAGUAGAUAGAAUUGAAAUUGAGAAAUGUUGAUUGGUUAUUAUAUGCUUCUUGAGCAUGAUUGGUUUGGGAUUGGUUGUUGAGAUAACAUGAGAUUUGUUAUGAAUGAUAUGUUAAAAAAAUAAAAAAUGUAAUUUUGUGGAGCUGUGCUACUUUGGUAAGUAGACAAAAUGGAAUUGAGAAACAUUAAUUGAUUCUCAUAUGCUUGUCGAGUAUGAUUGGUUUUGGAAUGAGUUGUGGUUAAUUAUGAUUAAUAUGUCAUACAAAUGUAAUUAUGGUUGCCUGUGUUACUUUGGUAAGUAGGCAGGAGUAUGUUGGUCUGCGCUACUUUGGUAAGUAGGCAGGAGUAUGUUGGUCUGCGCUACUUUGGUAAGUAGGCAGGAGUAUGUUGGUCUGCGCUACUUUGGUAAGUGGGCAGGGAGAUAUUGGUAUUGAAUUACUUUGGUAAGUAGGUUGAAGAAUUGGUACUACGCUACUUUGGUAAGUAGGUAGAAUAAUCUGACGACAUUCUACUUUGGUAAGUAGACAAGUGAAACGGGUAUUGCGCUACUUUGGUAAGUAGGUCAGAAAAGGAGAGGUUGUGACACUUUGAUAAGUGAGAUGAUAAUUCUUUUACUGAAGAAUAAUAUUGUUAUAUUAUGUUUAAUAGUGUGAUUAACUGUAUCGAACAUUGUAAAUAUAUUAUAAAGGACUGUGAACGAUUUGUAUGUUUGUGACAGUUAGCUCACCCUGUUGUUUGUGUUUGUGUUUGUGCAUGUGAAUGCGAUGAUCGUAUAACGCGUGAUGUUAUACGUGAGUAGAUGAUGUGACAAAGGAAGAAGGAGUAGCGUAAUGCGAGGAUCCGCGAGUGGGGAAAACAGAAUGGGAUUUUGAAUGUUUUGAAUAAAUUAAAUGUUAUCUAAACUGCAAUUAUAUUAUUCCCUCAGUGGAGCUGGAGAAUUAUGCUACUAUGUUUAAAUUUUAUUUUGCAAAUGUUGAAUUCCAAUAAAAGGUAUAAGACGUCUUGUUUGGUUUUAAAAAAAAAAUGUAUGUACGCUUCCGCACGCUUUUGGAAAAG
rnacentral:lncRNA from 1 species